rnacentral:rRNA from 1 species
GAUGAACGCUGGCGGCGUGCCUAAUACAUGCAAGUCGAGCGAACAGACGAGGAGCUUGCUCCUCUGACGUUAGCGGCGGACGGGUGAGUAACACGUGGAUAACCUACCUAUAAGACUGGGAUAACUUCGGGAAACCGGAGCUAAUACCGGAUAAUAUAUUGAACCGCAUGGUUCAAUAGUGAAAGACGGUUUUGCUGUCACUUAUAGAUGGAUCCGCGCCGCAUUAGCUAGUUGGUAAGGUAACGGCUUACCAAGGCAACGAUGCGUAGCCGACCUGAGAGGGUGAUCGGCCACACUGGAACUGAGACACGGUCCAGACUCCUACGGGAGGCAACAGUAGGGAAUCUUCCGCGAUGGAGGAAAGCCUGACGGAGCAACGCCGCGUGAGUGAUGAAGGUCUUCGGAUCGUAAAACUCUGUUAUUAGGGAAGAACAAAUGUGUAAGUAACUAUGCACGUCUUGACGGUACCUAAUCAGAAAGCCACGGCUAACUACGUG